rnacentral:rRNA from 1 species
UACGGAGGGUGCAAGCGUAUCCGGAUUUACUGGGUUUAAAGGGUGCGUAGGUGGAUAAUUAAGUCAGUGGUGAAAUCUUCAGGCUUAACCUGGAAACUGCCAUUGAUACUAUUUAUCUUGAAUACUUUGGAGGUAAGCGGAAUAUGUCAUGUAGCGGUGAAAUGCUUAGAUAUGACAUAGAACACCAAUUGCGAAGGCAGCUUACUACACAGUAAUUGACACUGAGGCACGAAAGCGUGGGGAUCAAACAGG